GGGUUUUCAUUUCUGAACUAUGUCACGAUGAUCUGUAGGACUGGGACUGGCAAGAAACCUAACAAAACAUUAUCUGUGAAAUGAUGUAGAUAAAAACUCAAAAUUUAGGGAUUCUUCAAGUUCAGGGCAUAAUUGGGUAGAAGGUAACUAGUGUUAGUUAUGUUACUACUAUUUUUUUAAUUAGUAGAUUAAAAAUACUAUACUGUAACUUGUGUUAUUACGACUUGACCAUAGCAGUUGCAACCAAACGAGAAGGGAUCUUGGCAGGAAAAAAGAGAACUACAAUAUCGGAUACGACAAAAGGUGGCCAUAAAGCGAAAGAAGGUAGAUGGAGAAACCAAUGAAGAAUGGGAACAAGAAGUCGAUGAAGGGCAGGUGGUGGGUACCUUUGACGUUGCACAGAAGUUACCCUCUAGUGUAAUACAUGUUACAAACAUGUGUUACGCAUGUUCAACCCCUUUGUUACCAAAAAUCGGGGCUGCACAUAUGUAAGACAUGUUUGUAACUUAUGUUACACUAGAGGGUAACACAUGUAGGAUCGGUUUUGACACCGUACGAUUGCGUAACGAACGUUCGACGUGCGGAAUCCGUGAACGUGCGUGACCGAACACACAAGAACGUACUAAUGACGUGAUUCUAUUGAUAUGAUGUCGUGUACAAAGCCGUGAAUCACGUAGAGAGACUUUCUCUCUCUAGAAUAAAUCUCUAAAUCUCCAAAUAAGCCAAAAGUCUUAAACUUUACAACUAAGUGAUCUAUUUAUAGGCUAAGGGAUAUAAUGAGAAAUCACAUUAUU
rnacentral:lncRNA from 1 species